rnacentral:rRNA from 1 species
CCCUACGGGGCGCGGCAGUGGGGAAUAUUGCACAAUGGGGGAAACCCUGAUGCAGCAACGCCGCGUGAGUGAAGAAGUAUUUCGAUAUGUAAAGCUCUAUCAGCAGGGAAGAAGAUGACGGUACCUGAUUAAGAAGCCCCGGCUAACUACGUGCCAGCAGCCGCGGUAAUACGUAGGGGGCAAGCGUUAUCCGGAUUUACUGGGUGUAAAGGGAGCGUAGACGGCUGUACAAGUCUGAAGUGAAAGCCCGUGGCUCAACCGCGGAACUGCUUUGGAAACUGUAAAGCUGGAGUACUGGAGAGGCA